GUAAGGCAGAAAAAAGAGAGAAGAUGCCGUAAGGAAAGCACUGGCUGAAGAGGCAUGAACAGGUACCACUUUUAUGCACAAGUGAAUUUUGAAACAUAUCAUGUGGGUCUCCUCUCCUUUUGUGCUCACCUGAUACUAGGCAGGGAGGGGUCCCUAGUUUCAAAACACAAAGCUUAAUACCUCUAAUUUUCUGCCUCACUGGUAUCUCACAGAAGGCAAACUGGUGAAGCUUAGAGGUAAGUAACUUGGGUGAAAGAAUGAACAGGGUAGAAGUGAGCACUGACUCUCCAGUGCCAAAUCACAUAUUUGGUUCCACAGCACAGCAAAAUACCCAUUACACAGAAAGCAAAUUAAUACCAAAACACAGAAACCACUCACAUACUAGAAAAAGGUAAGAUACAGAAAUACAUAAUAAAAUCUUGGCAAAACACACACUUAAAAUCAGCCAGCCACCUAAUACAUACAGUACAACUCCCCAUAGUUAAAAAAGGGGGCCCCCUCACAGCAUAAGCAAGAAGACUUCCCUUGAGCCCUACCUUGAGCCCUCUGAGAUGCUUGCUUGUUCCUUUCUCUCUGGGCUUGUUCUGGGGCUCAGGUACAUUUUUGCAGACGCCACUGGUAUUGGAGCCCUUGCCAUUCUCCUUACUUAAAAAAAUAAAGGAAAAAAUGAAUUAGGAGGGGCAUGGAGCCCAGUGUGUGUGCCAUUUUGGAAUCCCAGAAGUAAGGAGUUAGAAAUUGCUAUUCUUAGCAUCUUCUGAUCAGAAAGAAGCCUUCUUGCAAAGCUUGUAGUGUGUUAGGAUUUGUUAGCUUGCUAUUUCUCUCUUUCUUUAUUCACCUGGUUCCACAGGUGCUUGGCCCUCAGCAAAGGACCAUCCCCUCCUCAGGGAGCUGAGAUCAGUGGGCCCAGCUGCUUCCAUUGGUGGCAGCAAUUGUCUUGUGGCAUCUAGCUUUGUUUCUGAAAGUGUGUUGGAAGGAAGAAGCAAACAGACAGAUUCAGGAAGGAAUUGUCAGACAGAAUGGGCAAAUAGGGUGGAAGGGAACUUUCGAGAAAGUGAAUUUAAAUUGUCUACAAGAGCUGAUUGUUGAAAUAAAUGCAGCAUUUACUGGAAGAUGGAGUCUUCU
rnacentral:lncRNA from 1 species